rnacentral:rRNA from 1 species
GGCUCAGGACGAACGCUGGCGGCGUGCUUAACACAUGCAAGUCGAACGGGGACUUCGGUCCUAGUGGCGAACGGGUGAGUAAAGUGCAAAUAACCUGCCUCAAAGAUGGGGACAACAGCUCGAAAGGGUUGCUAAUACCGAAUGUUGUAUAGAGAGGGCAUCCUGAUUAUACUAAAGAUUUAUCGCUUUGAGAGGGGUUUGCAUCCGAUUAGGCAGUUGGCGGGGUAAAAGCCCACCAAACCGACGAUCGGUAACCGGUCUGAGAGGAUGAACGGUCACAUUGGAACUGAGACACGGUCAGACUCCUACGGGAGGCAGCAGUGGGGAAUAUUCCACAAUGGAGGGAACUCUGAUGGAGCGACGCCGCGUGAAGUGAAGAAGGGUUUAGGCUCGUAAAGCUCUUUUCUUGCAGAUGAAUGACUUAUUAGAUAAGUAGGGACAGUAUGUAAGGAAUAAGCCACGGCUAACUACGUGCCAGCCGCAGC